GUCUGUGGCCACAUCACACUGAAUACAUCUGAACUGAGAAGCUAAGCAGGAUUGGGCCUGGUUAGCAUUGGGAUAGGUGAAUAGGAAAGGAGCAAUUGGCCAAAGAAA
rnacentral:rRNA from 1 species